AGAGAGAGACAGGGUCUUGCUCUGUUGCCCAGGCUGGAGCACGGUGUUGCUGUCAUAGCUCACUUGCAGCCUCUACCUCUAGGGUUCAAACAAUCCUCCUGCUUCAGCCUCCUGGUUAGGUGGGACCAUAGGUGUGCACCACUAUGCCUGGCUAAUGUUUUUUAUGUUUUGAAGAGACAGGGUCUCACCAUGUUGCCCAGGCUGGUCUUGAACUCCUGGGCUCAAGCAAUCCUCCUGCCUCGGUCUCCCGAGUAGCUUGGACUACAGUGCUCAAUACCACACCCCACUAAUGUUGCCUUUUUUUCCUUUUUUUUUUUUUUUUGUAGAGAUGAGAUCAUAUUAUGUUGCCCAGGCCCCUCUCAAACUCCUGGCCUCAAGCGAUCUUCCCACCUUGGCCUCCCAAAAUGCUGAUAUUACAGGCAUGAGCCACUGUGCCCAGUCACAUUUUUUAUCUGUUAAAAAAAAACAAAAACCAAGUUUGGAUGUUAUGAUGUUAGUAGUGUGUCUGGUUCUGAAGUUACAGGAUAGGAGAUAGAGAAAAAUUGUGACCUGCCCAAAGUCUCAAAGCUAAUUCUAAAUAACUAAAGUUGUAGAAUCUUUUGUUUGGAGGACCAUCUUAAAGGUGUGAUCUGUACUCAGCCAUUUGUCUGAUGUGUAAAUCCUCAGUCUGUAGCUUCCCGGCCACGUGGUCACCAAGGCUGUGCUUGAACAUCCCUGAGACGCCUUUCAAGGAGCACCGUUCUGUCUUUGGGCAGCUCUAAUUGUUAAAAAAAAAAAAAAAAAAAAAAGUCUUCCUUACGUUAGGCUGAAGUCUGUUCCCCAUGUAGUUGUUCCCCUUGGGGCCAUGUAAUACAAGUCUACUUCCUCUUACAAAAGACAGCCCUUCAAAUGUUGGACAACAGCAGUAUUCCCGGCCCUCCUGGCUCCCCUCCCCUCAUCCACUACCAAGGAAGCAUGGCUGUGAGUUUGUUCAUCAUCCUUUGAAUGUGCUCCAACUCAUGCACAGCCCCUUUAAAAGGAGGUGUGCAGAACCUGAUUCUCCCAGUGGAGCUUAAUCAGUACCUGUCAUCCCCAUUUUCCCAGUGACAGAUUUUUAUUGAGACAGCCAACACUUGGAUUGGUGUUGCCUUUGACGAAUUUCAGGUUACUGCAAAGUGAAUCCAAAUACCAACUAUUUUCAAAUAAAAGAAAGGAGAGGCAAGACUUAGCAGCAGCAGGCUUUUUACAGUCCUUCAGGUUUCAAUUGUGGGACCUUACACGUGGUGCUAUUGCAGCUCCAAUUUUGUUUUUUUCUUUUAACCCAUCAUUUCAGCUUGUUAAACUUUGGAGAUUCAUAUUCUGUCAUUGAGAGUUGUCCUUCCUUCCUUUGCUGCUUCAGAGGACUUAGUGAUGCCUUUAUUAGAGCUUUUACUACAUUGCAUUAUGGCUCUUUAUGUCUUUCCUCCUGAGUUCUGCUAGGAUCAUAAUCAUGUCUCAUCAUAUUCCUCUUCUCUCUUCAACACUGACAGCUCAUAGUAAGUGCUUAAUACAUUUUCAUUGAAUGAAUGAGUCAAAAGUAUUUGCUCUUCCAAAUUCUGCUUAUUGAUAGUUUAUUAAUAAUUAUAUAUUAUUCAUGCUGUUUCAAUAUUUAUCGUACUUAUUUGAAUAUAUACAUUUAUAUUUAUAUAAAGUAAUAAAUGUGGGUAUUUUAUUAAUAAAUAAGUUACUUAUUAAGUACAUUGAAGAGGACAAUGGCUAGAUGCUGUUUUGCAGCCCACUAGAAACUUUCCCCUGGGCCAGGCGCAGUGGCUCAUGCCUAUAAUCCCAGCACUUAGGGAGGCCAAGGCAGACGGAUCACUUGCGGUCAGGAGUUUGAGACCCGCCUGGGCAACAUGGUAAAACCCCAUCUCUACUAAAAAUACAAAAAUUAGCCGGGCAUGGUGGCAUGUACCAGUAAUUCCAGCUACUUGGGAGGGUGAGGCAAGAGAAUUGCUUGAACCUAGGAGGUGGAAGUUGCAGUGAGCUGAGAUCGCACCACCACACUCCAGCCUGGGUGACAGAGCGAGACCCUGUCUCAAAAAUUAAAAAAAAUAAAAAAAAAAAAGAAACUUUUCCCUGGGAUGACUGUUGAUCUGUUCUUUGACAUUCUUUUUAAGAUAAGGUUUAUUUUAUCAGGAAUUUCCCUAAUUUUAUAGUCAGUUCUGUUACAACGCUACAUACAGUUUCCUUAAAAUCACCAUGCUGUUCACAGUGGUACAAAUGAAGCCAUAAGACUUAUGGGAGAAAUGGGAUUAGGGACCAAAAAUUUAUCACUGACAGAAAAAAAAAAAACAGGAACCCAGUAAAAACAGUAACUUAGUUUUACACAUGCUAAAUGGUUAAGAAAUAAAUAGGCCGGGCGCGGUGGCUUACGCCUGUAAUUCCAGCACUUUGGGAGGCUGAGGCAGGCGGAUCAUCUGAGGUCAGGAGUUUGAGACCAGCUUGACCAACAUGGAGAAACCCCAUCUCUACUAAAAAUACAAAAUUAUCCGGGCGUGGUGGCACAUGCCUGUAAUCCCAGCUACUUAGGAGACUGAGGCAGGAGAAUUGCUUGAACCCGGGAGGCGGAGGUUGAGGUGAGCCAAGAUCGUGUCAUUGCACUCCAGCCUGAGCAACAAGAGUGAAACUCUAUCUCAAAAAAAAAAAAGAAAGAAAAAAAAAAGAAAUGCUACAAUAAAUAUGGCAUCUACCUUGUAAAAAGCCUGAAGUUUGCUCAUGGGAGCUGACAUGAGGAGGGUUGGAGCCGGUGGUUAUAGUGGCGUGGUGGAAGGAGGAUUAUCUGAACUUGGAAAGAAGGUUGUAACAGCAGAUCUGAAUGUGCUACACUCGUAGCACACACAGUCAGCUGAGGAAGGCAAGGGAUGCUUGAGGCUGUAUGGUUAAUGUAUUCCUGUGGGCUCCAGAAUGCGGCUCAGUUUUCUCCAUUCACCUUGUACUUUUUGCAGACAAAAUUGCACCUAAGCAAACGUUACAUUCACAUUAGAAUAAACUCACAUUUCAAAGCAAGUGUCGCAGCAGCUCCUGUUUCUUUGUUGUGUUAUUUGCUUGAUCAGUAAAGCAUCUUUUUUGUUCUUAUAGUAAUUCCAGGCACUGGUAUAUAAGGAUACAUAAAUUAUACUACCCACUCACUCUCUAAAACUCUUGUUCUUAAAGAUUGGCUUAUUUUUGCUAGGAGGAAUGAAAGUACAUGUUAAAGAGACAUACUUGGCUGAUCUAGCCAUUUUCCAAAGUCUCCCCCCGCCAGAGGAAUAUCUCAUAAGUCUGGUUCCUAAUUACAUUUAGCAGAUUUCUCUAAAAUCUAAAAGCUGGAGUUUGAAUGGUUCUUACUUUUCAGCUAGUAUCUAAAAGGUGAUUCACUUAGGAGCAGCAUAGAGGAGAAACUUGUAUUUCACCUAUCAAGUUUCUGAUUUAAAAGUGAAAUUUCAGCCAGGCACGGUGGCACACACCUGUAAUCUCAGCACUUUGGGAGGCGAAGGUGAGUGGAUCACCUGAGGUCAGGAGUUCAAGACCAGCCUGACCAACAUGGAGAAACCCCAUCUCUACUAAAAAUACAAAAUUAGCCUGGCGUGGUGGCGCGUGCCUGUAAUCCCAGCUACUCAGGAGGGUGAGGCAGGAGAAUAGCUUGAACCCGGGAGGCAGAGGUUGCAGUGAGCCGAGAUCGCGCCCUUGCACUCCAGCCUGGGCAACAGGAGCGAAACUCCAUCUCAAAAAGUGGAAUUUCACCUCAUAUCAUUUACAUGUGUGUGAUUUGAUGAUGGCUUUAACUGAAAAUAGACUAAUGCCAAUAGAAUCGGAGACUCUUAGAACUGGAAAGGACCACAGAUAUCAGGAAGCCCAAACUUCUCUCUUUUUCAGAUGAAGAAACCAAGGCUCUGCGAAGUGGAGUGUUACAUGCACAGUCACUUAGCUAGUGGUAAAGCCAGAACUUGAAUCCAGUUAAUUUUGAAACUAUAAUAUGUUGCCUUGCAAAAUUGUAUCAUAGAAGGACAUAAAAUCUGUGCAUUUAGGAGGAAAUCUAAACUCAUAUUAUUUCAGCUUUUUAGUCUGUUUAGUAAGGGAGUUUCACCAAUUCAGUUACUACUGAUAAUAAGCUUCCCCUUGUUUUAUUUUUGUUUCUUUAAGAAAUCUGGGCCGGACACUGUGGCACACACCUGUAAUCCCAGCACUUUGGGAGGCUGAGGUGGGCGGAUCACAUGAGGCCAGGAGUUCAAGACCAACAUGGCCAACACGAUGAAACCCCAUCUCUACCAAGAAAUACAAAAAUUAGCCGGGCGUGGUGACACGCACCUGUAGUCCAAACUACUUGGGAGGCUGAGGCAGGAGAACCACUUGAACUUGGGAGGCAGAGGUUGCAGUGAGCCGAGAUUGCGCCACUGUACUCCAGCCUGGCUGACAGAGGGAGACUCUGUCUCAAAAAAAAAAAAAAAAAAAAAAAAACUAGUAUGACACAAACUCACCAAAGUGGCUAUUCCUCAGACUCUGUGCUUUAUAAAUUCACGUUUGUUAGGGCAGACAGAAAAUUCUGUUUCUUUGUACCCAAAAAGAUUUAAGCAUUUGUCGUGCAUUGAUCUGGGGUUUUGAGGGGGAAACAUCCUUGGUUAUGUCUGUGGGAUUUGUGGUGCCUUCUGGAGGAUUAAGAUGUCAUUGCCUCUAGUCAGGGCAUGCUCUCUUUUCCAGUUGGUGGGUCUUAUUUUGUUUACAUCUGCUUCCUCCCAGCACUGACAGAUUUGAAAUGUGUGCCUGAAGUGCACCUUUGUGCCAGGCCCAUAGUUUUGACUGGGGCCCUCAUGACCCAUUGGCCAUGGUCACUUUGCCUGGGAGCAAUCAUCAUUUCUAGGGUAUAGGAACUUGAAGCAAAGAAUUUGCUGCAUUUUCAAAAAGCAGGAAGGGGUGGUUAAAGUGUGGAUGGAGGGGUAAUCUCCCCCCACCCCCGCCCCAGCCCCUGUUUUGUAAGAGAGGCUAUCCAACUCAUGUAUUUCCAGCCCCGAGUGUUGGCAAAAACAUUUUCAUAUUGUUCUCACUUUUCUGACUGAGUCCAAAAAGUUCCUGGGAAACAGGUUUUGUUUUUCCUCGGGGGAUGUUUGGAUUUGAAAACACCAAAUUUCAACUGCAAUCGUUUGUCCAAGUGUGGUGUUGAAAGUACUGUCUAGAUCUGAGUAAAUCAGAAUCUGAAGAAAUAUAGCCAACGUCACUCAUUAACAAUGGGUUUUCCAAGGGUGAGUGACAUGAGGCCAUUUGUCUGCGGUGAGGUAGAUGCGCUCCUCUUUUCAGUGGCCCCCUGAGGCCACCAAUGUCACGGGCAAGCACAUCCUCGGUUUGGGGCCAUUAGCUGAAUGCCCUCUGUUUCAUCUUGCCUUUUCUAGGCCGCCCUCUCCUGUCUUUAAGGUCAGGGUUUCAGAAUGUCCUUCAGUUCUGCUUUAGUCAGGACUAAAAGCCUUCCACAGUGCCUUGACGAGGAGGACAUAUAAGGAAGAGGCACAAUUCAAGUAAAGUCAGUCUGUAUUGAUUUUGUGAACCCGGGGAACAGUAAGCCAGCCUUCAGUGCCGCCUGGCUGCCGGGCGCAUGCCGUUGUCAGACCGAUGAGCGAGGCUCCAUGCAGACAGGUGACAUAUUCGAGGUGGCAAGAGCAGCAAGAGCUUCUAGAUCCUGUCAUUUUGCUUCUGACAGUGUCUUUGUGUCUUUGUACAGUUGGAGGACCUGACUGACACGUGAGCCCCCCUUGGCAGCCAUCAUCUUCAGAAUACUGCUUUCCUCCCACGGGAGGAGCUUGUACCUCUCUCAUGUGUACAGGGUGCUUAUGUGCUCAUGAGCAGGCAAAGGAGCAGGGGACGGUUUCUUCCAGAUCACCCUUCCAGGUGCUCUGGAGUUGAUGUGGCCUGGCCACCUUUUCAUCAUCGCCCCUCCAGUUCCAUUGCAGUGAUGCAUUGCAGGCUCUCCUCAGGAAAAUGUUAUAAAGGAACUUGCUUAGAUUUUGUAAAUUAUUAUGUGGUUAAAGAAAUCAACGAUUUAUCAAGUGCUCACUCUGUGGAAGGCAUCGUGUGCAGAAUCGAAGUAAAGGCAAAGAUUGAAAGAAAUCAUUCCUCAAAAAAGUUGUGUGUAUUAAAAUAUGAAGAGCAGUAA